rnacentral:rRNA from 1 species
CGGGCGAGGUUGCUUCGGUAACUGAGCUAGCGGCGGACGGGUGAGUAAAGCUUAGGAAUCUGCCUAUUAGUGGGGGACAACAUUCCGAAAGGGAUGCUAAUACCGCAUACGUCCUACGGGAGAAAGCAGGGGAUCACUUGUGACCUUGCGCUAAUAGAUGAGCCUAAGUCGGAUUAGCUAGUUGGUGGGGUAAAGGCCUACCAAGGCGACGAUCUGUAGCGGGUCUGAGAGGAUGAUCCGCCACACUGGGACUGAGACACGGCCCAGACUCCUACGGGAGGCAGCAGUGGGGAAUAUUGGACAAUGGGGGGAACCCUGAUCCAGCCAUGCCGCGUGUGUGAAGAAGGCCUUUUGGUUGUAAAGCACUUUAAGCGAGGAGGAGGCUUACCUGGUUAAUACCUGGGAUAAGUGGACGUUACUCGCAGAAUAAGCACCGGCUAACUCUGUGCCAGCAGCCGCGGUAAUACAGAGGGUGCGAGCGUUAAUCGGAUUUACUGGGCGUAAAGCGCGCGUAGGUGGUUAAUUAAGUCAAAUGUGAAAUCCCCGAGCUUAACUUGGGAAUUGCAUUCGAUACUGGUUAGCUAGAGUAUGGGAGAGGAUGGUAGAAUUCCAGGUGUAGCGGUGAAAUGCGUAGAGAUCUGGAGGAAUACCGAUGGCGAAGGCAGCCAUCUGGCCUAAUACUGACACUGAGGUGCGAAAGCAUGGGGAGCAAACAGGAUUAGAUACCCUGGUAGUCCAUGCCGUAAACGAUGUCUACUAGCCGUUGGGGGAUUUGAUCCUUUAGUGGCGCAGCUAACGCGAUAAGUAGACCGCCUGGGGAGUACGGUCGCAAGACUAAAACUCAAAUGAAUUGACGGGGGCCCGCACAAGCGGUGGAGCAUGUGGUUUAAUUCGAUGCAACGCGAAAAACCUUACCUGGCCUUGACUUAGUAGAGACUUUCCAGAGAUGGAUUGGUGCCUUC